GAUGAACGCUGGCGGCGUGCCUAACACAUGCAAGUCGAACGGAAAGGCCCUGAUUUUGUGGGGUGCUCGAGUGGCGAAGGCGUGAGUAACACGUGAGUAACCUGCCCUUGACUUUGGGGUAACUUCAGGAAAAUGGGGCUAAUAUCGGAUAGGAGAUCCUGCUGCACGGUGGGGGUUGGAAAGUUUCGGCGGUGGGGGAUGGAUUAGCGGCUUAUGAGCUUGUUGGUGGGGUAGUGGCUUACCAAGGCUUUGACGGGUAGCCGGCCUGGGCGGGUGACCGGCGACAAUGGGCCUGCGGGACGCACCAGACGCGUACGGGAGGCAGCAGUCGGAAAUAUUGCACAGUGGGCCGGAGCCUGAUACAGCGACGCCGCGUGCGGAAUGCCGGCCUUCGGGGUAUGAACCGCUUUCGCCUGUGACGAAGCGUGAGUGACGGUAAUGAGUAAAGAAGCACCGGCUAACUACGUG
rnacentral:rRNA from 1 species